rnacentral:ncRNA from 2 species
GAAUAUUUGUUCUACUUUAGUUUACAUUUUAGCGCACAGGAAACGGAAGAUGGUGAAAAUCCAUCACGGACGCGCCACUGUAACUGACACAUAGAGGUCAGAAGUCAGGAGACGUCCUGCUGCGUAUGAGCACGA